GUGUUGAAAUUGUCUUGUAGGUGGGUAAAUUUCAAAUUCCAAUUCCGUUGUUUGGGGGGCAAAUUCGUAUUUUAAUUGUGUUGUUGGUGGGUCUUUUCUUCGUAAGAGCCCAAAAAUGAGGUAUAAAUUUGUUUUAAAAUGACAUUUUAUGCGUACUUUGCGCGAUCGAAAACGGCAUUUUGGUACGAAAUAAACGAGUCCGAAUGCUAUUCUCACGACGCGGCUAUUCUUACGGUAACACCAUGGAGGCUAUGAGUGUUUCAGACGUGCGCCAGUUUUUGAUGGAGCGUAACCUAAGCUCGCUAACCACGACCUUUGAAGCUCUGACACUUACAUGUAGAAGAAAAUUAGUCUGACAGAAAAUCUGAUUGAUGGCGAAGCAUUGCUUUCUGUGAUGGAAGAUCACAUUUUGUUGAAGGAAUUAAUACCUGAAGUGGGGUUGAGAGCAAAACUGAGGCGUAAAUAAAAAAGAAGACUUGAGAGUUUUACUGAAUGACAUGAACAAAUACUAAUUUCAAUUGUGUUGUAGGGUGGUGUUGAGUUAAUCUAAAUGUGGUGCUGGUGGGUCUAUUACCUAUUUUAAUUCUGUUGGUGGGGGGUGUAAAAGCAGUUAAAAUUGUGUUGGUGGUGCCCCAUUUUUGGACUGUCGUUCUUGCCCCCCCAGGCCUUUUUUCCUGGAACAGC